AUGAACGCUGGCGGCGUGCCUAAUACAUGCCAGUCGAGCGAACAGACGAGGAGCUUGCUCCUCUGACGUUAGCGGCGGACGGGUGAGUAACACGUGGAUAACCUACCUAUAAGCCUGGGAUAACUUCGGGAAACCGGAGCUAAUACCGGAUAAUAUAUUGAACCGCCUGGUUCAAUAGUGAAAGACGGUUUUGCUGUCACUUAUAGAUGGAUCCGCGCCGCAUUAGCUAGUUGGUAAGGUAACGGCUUACCAAGGCAACGAUGCGUAGCCGACCUGAGAGGGUGAUCGGCCACACUGGAACUGAGACACGGUCCAGACUCCUACGGGAGGCAGCGGUAGGGAAUCUUCCGCAAUGGGCGAAAGCCUGACGGAGCAACGCCGCGUGAGUGAUGAAGGUCUUCGGAUCGUAAAACUCUGUUAUUAGGGAAGAACAAAUGUGUAAGUAACUAUGCACGUCUUGACGGUACCUAAUCAGAAAGCCACGGCUAACUACGUG
rnacentral:rRNA from 1 species